GACGAACGCUGGCGGCGUGCUUAACACAUGCAAGUCGAGCGGAAAGGCCCUUUCGGGGGUACUCGAGCGGCGAACGGGUGAGUAACCCGUGAGUAAUCUGCCCUUGGCUUUGGGAUAACCACCGGAAACGGUGGCUAAUACCGGAUGUGACGCGCACCGGCAUCGGGGUGUGUGGAACGUUUCUUCGGCCAGGGAUGUGCUCGCGGCCUAUCAGCUUGUUGGUGGGGUACUGGCCUACCAAGGCUUCGACGGGUAGCCGGCCUGAGAGGGUGACCGGCCACACUGGGACUGAGACACGGCCCAGACUCCUACGGGAGGCAGCAGUGGGGAAUAUUGGACAAUGGGCGGAAGCCUGAUCCAGCAACGCCGCGUGAGGGAUGACGGCCUUCGGGUUGUAAACCUCUUUCAGUACCGACGAAGCGCCGAUGAUGGUGGUGACGGUAGGUACAGAAGAAGCACCGGCCAACUACGUGCCAGCCGCCGCGGUAA
rnacentral:rRNA from 1 species